rnacentral:rRNA from 1 species
AGCCGUCCUUGAAAUACCACCCUUGUAUGUUUGAUGUUCUAACGUUGGCCCCUAAUCGGGGUUGCGGACAGUGCCUGGUGGGUAGUUUGACUGGGGCGGUCUCCUCCCAAAGAGUAACGGAGGAGCACGAAGGUGGGCUAAUCACGGUUGGACAUCGUGAGGUUAGUGCAAUGGCAUAAGCCCGCUUAACUGCGAGAAUGACGGUUCGAGCAGGUGCGAAAGCAGGUCAUAGUGAUCCGGUGGUUCUGAAUGGAAGGGCCAUCGCUCAACGGAUAAAAGGUACUCCGGGGAUAACAGGCUGAUACCGCCCAAGAGUUCAUAUCGACGGCGGUGUUUGGCACCUCGAUGUCGGCUCAUCACAUCCUGGGGCUGAAGUCGGUCCCAAGGGUAUGGCUGUUCGCCAUUUAAAGUGGUACGCGAGCUGGGUUUAGAACGUCGUGAGACAGUUCGGUCCCUAUCUGCCGUGGGCGUUGGAAGAUUGAAGGGGGCUGCUCCUAGUACGAGAGGACCGGAGUGGACGAACCUCUGGUGUUCGGGUUGUGUCGCCAGACGCAUUGCCCGGUAGCUAAGUUCGGAAUCGAUAACCGCUGAAAGCAUCUAAGCGGGAAGCGAGCCCUGAGAUGAGUCUUCCCUGAUACUUUAAGUAUCCUGAAGGGUUGUUCGAGACUAGAACGUUGAUAGGCAGGGUGUGUAAGCGCUGUGAGGCGUUGAGCUAACCUGUACUAAUUGCCCGUGAGGCUUAACCAUACAACAC